rnacentral:snRNA from 8 species
AUCGCUUCUCGGCCUUUUGGCUCAGAUCAAGUGUAGUCUCUGUUCUUAUCAGUUUAAUAUCUGAUACGUCCCCCAUCGGGGGACUACAUAUUAAAUGGAUUUUUCGAACAGGGAG